GCUUCUCCUGCCAAAAGACCAGCAAGCAAAACAAACAAAGUUACUAUAUUAGCAAGAAUAAUAGAACUUGAUUAUCAUCAAGAGCUAGGAAUGCUACUACCUGAUGGGGUUAAGAAGAAUUAUGUCUAAACUUUAAGAUAGUCCUUGGGGAAUCUCCUGGUGUUACUGUCAUGCGCGUCCAUGUGAAGAGAGUCCACCAAACAGGCUUUGUCAUUCACCAGGGCUUAGAAGACCCUGUGGCACCUGAAAGUGAAUGUGCAAUUGGAUUGGAGUUAUGCUGCAACAAUUAGCUGCUCAAUUGUGUGUUUAUUACAUAUACCAAGAUCACUUAAAUAACACUACAGGUCUUCCUCAAUGGUGAUUUUUAUUCUGAUGGAGAAGACAUGCCUGAAGUGUAUUGAGCAGAAGAGUGACAAGAUCUGACUAACCUGGUAAGAUUACUCUGGCUGUUGUUUUGAGAAUACUUGGAGCGGAGAUAAGUAGUGAAGCUGAUAUAUCAACUUAUAAGCUUUUUACUAAUCCAGGUAAGAGAUGAAGGUAGCUUGAUCUGCAGUGGUGGCAGUACAGAUGAGAAGAAGUGGUUAAAUUUUGUAUAUAACUUGAAGACAAAGUGGGCAAGAUGAUCUGAGUGAUUGGACUGGGAGUGUGAGAGGCAGAAAGGGGUCAAUGAUGACUCCAAGGUUUUAUAUGAACAAUUGGAAAAAUAUUACGUUCUUUUUGUCUUUUUCUCCUUUUCCUUUUUCUUUCUUAUAGUUUGAGGCUUAUCGUUUGACAACAACAAAUGAUCAGUUUAUCUUCUAGAAAGUAGAUUGUCAACAAUUUAUAAAUGAAGAGUCUGCUAGUCAGUGAUAAGCAAAGGACUCUGUGUGGGAACUGGAGGGAAGAAAGACCCUCAAUCAUGUUCUAAGGCCAGUAUUUAAGAAAUAUUCAUAAAUAUGUUUUAAAAAAUUUUCCAGGAGUCAAAUGAUACAAUGUUAAUGGAAGGAAUUCAUUCUUUGUCUGCUCAAAAAUCCAUUUGACAAUACUUCUGUCUAUAUUCAGGCUCCAGUUUUUGUAGGUUAAAUUGUAACAACAUUUGUUGGCAUACUCAUUCUCCAAACACCAUUCUUAGUACUCUAUUGGGUGUAGUAGAUCGCCCAGGGUCUCCAGCUUGCAGGCAGACCACUGUGGGACUUCUUAGCCUCCAGAACUGGUAUAAGCCAGUUUCCCUAAUUCAUCUUCUCUCAAAUAUCUAUCCAUCUCUCUGUAUAUAUCCUACUGUUUCUAUCUUUCUGAAGAACCCUAAUGCUUGUUCCUUGUGUAUUAAUAUGUAUUAGUAUGUAUUAUUACUCAUACAUGCUCCAGGUUUAGUAUGUUUUUUUAUUUAAAAAAAUUCAUAAGAUUGAAGGCUGCAUUAUUGAUUUGCCAUCUUUCUUCUUUUUAAAAAUAGGCCUGUAAAAUCUCCUUCUGAGCACUGCUUCAGCUGCAUUCUAUAAAUUUUUGUAUAAUUUGUUUUCAUUUUCAUUUAUAAUUUCAUUGAAAACAAAAACAAAACACAUCAUAUAGUAUAACCAUUCCAACUCUCUUUUGGGCAUUUUAUGAAUGGUACAUCUUUUUUAAUCCUUACUUAUUUGUGUCUUUGAAAGUAAAUUUUGUUUCAUUUAUCCAACAUCUAGUUGGAUCAUAUGUUUUUUAAACUAAUCUUCCAAUCUCUG
rnacentral:lncRNA from 1 species